rfam:Lutzomyia longipalpis Contig3518, whole genome shotgun sequence.
AAAAUGGCUCUUUUCAGAGCCCCCAAAAUUAAUUUUUAAAGAGUUU